AAUAUUUGACAAGGGGGGGCACCCUGAUCCAGCCAAUCCCCGUGUGUGAAGAAGGUCUUUGGAUUGUAAAGCACCUUAUGUUGGGAGGAAGAGUUGUAGGCUAAUACAUUGCAGUUUUGACGUGAACACUAAAAUAAGUCCCGGCUUAUCUCCUUCCAGGAGCCGCGGGAAUAAGAAGGGUGCAGGGGUUAAUCGGAAUUAAUGGGCGUAAAGCGCGCGUAGGUGGUUCGUUAAGUUGGAAGGGAAAGCCCCGGGCUUAACCUGUGAAUUGCUUUCGAAACUGACGAGCUAGAGUACGGUAGAGGGUAGUGGAAUUCCCUGUGUAGCGGUGAAAUUCGUAGAUAUAGAAAGGAACAUCAGUGGCGAAGGCGAGUACCUGGACCGAUACUGACACUGAGGUGCGAAAGCGUGGGGAGCAAACA
rnacentral:rRNA from 1 species